ACACAUGCAAGUCGAGCGGGGAAGGGUAGCUUGCUACCUGACCUAGCGGCGGACGGGUGAGUAAUGCUUAGGAAUCUGCCUAUUAGUGGGGGACAACAUUCCGAAAGGAAUGCUAAUACCGCAUACGCCCUACGGGGGAAAGCAGGGGAUCUUCGGACCUUGCGCUAAUAGAUGAGCCUAAGUCAGAUUAGCUAGUUGGUGGGGUAAAGGCCUACCAAGGCGACGAUCUGUAGCGGGUCUGAGAGGAUGAUCCGCCACACUGGGACUGAGACACGGCCCAGACUCCUACGGGAGGCAGCAGUGGGGAAUAUUGGACAAUGGGCGAAAGCCUGAUCCAGCCAUGCCGCGUGUGUGAAGAAGGCCUUUUGGUUGUAAAGCACUUUAAGCGAGGAGGAGGCUACUUGGAUUAAUACUCUAGGAUAGUGGACGUUACUCGCAGAAUAAGCACCGGCUAACUCUGUGCCAGCAGCCGCGGUAAUACAGAGGGUGCGAGCGUUAAUCGGAUUUACUGGGCGUAAAGCGUGCGUAGGCGGCUUUUUAAGUCGGAUGUGAAAUCCCUGAGCUUAACUUAGGAAUUGCAUUCGAUACUGGGAAGCUAGAGUAUGGGAGAGGAUGGUAGAAUUCCAGGUGUAGCGGUGAAAUGCGUAGAGAUCUGGAGGAAUACCGAUGGCGAAGGCAGCCAUCUGGCCUAAUACUGACGCUGAGGUACGAAAGCAUGGGGAGCAAACAGGAUUAGAUACCCUGGUAGUCCAUGCCGUAAACGAUGUCUACUAGCCGUUGGGGCCUUUGAGGCUUUAGUGCGCAGCUAACGCGAUAAGUAGACCGCCUGGGGAGUACGGUCGCAAGACUAAACUCAAAUGAAUUGACGGGGG
rnacentral:rRNA from 1 species